rnacentral:tRNA from 1 species
AGCUAGAUGGCCGAGUUGGUAGGCAAUAAAUUGUAAAUUUAUGAACGGAUAUAAGAAUCCUCUAGCUA